AGAGUUUGAUCCUGGCUCAGGACGAACGCUGGCGGCGUGCUUAAUACAUGCAAGUAGAACGCUGAAGAGAGGAGCUUGCUCUUCUUGGAUGAGUUGCGAACGGGUGAGUAACGCGUAGGUAACCUGCCUUGUAGCGGGGGAUAACUAUUGGAAACGAUAGCUAAUACCGCAUAACAAUGGAUGACACAUGUCAUUUAUUUGAAAGGGGCAAUUGCUCCACUACAAGAUGGACCUGCGUUGUAUUAGCUAGUAGGUGAGGUAACGGCUCACCUAGGCGACGAUACAUAGCCGACCUGAGAGGGUGAUCGGCCACACUGGGACUGAGACACGGCCCAGACUCCUACGGGAGGCAGCAGUAGGGAAUCUUCGGCAAUGGGGGCAACCCUGACCGAGCAACGCCGCGUGAGUGAAGAAGGUUUUCGGAUCGUAAAGCUCUGUUGUAAGUCAAGAACGAGUGUGAGAGUGGAAAGUUCACACUGUGACGGUAGCUUACCAGAAAGGGACGGCUAACUACGUGCCAGCAGCCGCGGUAAUACGUAGGUCCCGAGCGUUGUCCGGAUUUAUUGGGCGUAAAGCGAGCGCAGGCGGUUUGAUAAGUCUGAAGUUAAAGGCUGUGGCUCAACCAUAGUUCGCUUUGGAAACUGUCAAACUUGAGUGCAGAAGGGGAGAGUGGAAUUCCAUGUGUAGCGGUGAAAUGCGUAGAUAUAUGGAGGAACACCGGUGGCGAAAGCGGCUCUCUGGUCUGUAACUGACGCUGAGGCUCGAAAGCGUGGGGAGCGAACAGGAUUAGAUACCCUGGUAGUCCACGCCGUAAACGAUGAGUGCUAGGUGUUGGAUCCUUUCCGGGAUUCAGUGCCGCAGCUAACGCAUUAAGCACUCCGCCUGGGGAGUACGACCGCAAGGUUGAAACUCAA
rnacentral:rRNA from 1 species